UACGUAGGUGGCAAGCGUUGUCCGGAAUUAUUGGGCGUAAAGCGCGCGCAGGUGGUUUCUUAAGUCUGAUGUGAAAGCCCACGGCUCAACCGUGGAGGGUCAUUGGAAACUGGGGAACUUGAGUGCAGAAGAGGAAAGUGGAAUUCCAAGUGUAGCGGUGAAAUGCGUAGAGAUUUGGAAGAACACCAGUGGCGAAGGCGACUUUCUGGUCUGUAACUGACACUGAGGCGCGAAAGCGUGGGGAGCGAACAGG
rnacentral:rRNA from 1 species